rnacentral:misc_RNA from 1 species
CAUGUUUGAAGCACAAUGGUGGUUGAUACACUGACACGUGUUCAAAUUAAAUUAAAGGAAUUAUACAAGUUAUGUUAUACUAUUGUUAUAUUCUAUUGUAGACAAGACAGAGGAAGGAGGGCAGACGAUGCAAUCUUCAGAAGAAGAACAGGCGAGCAACACUGGUCCAAGGUCCUUCAAGUCAACAGAGACUGCACCGUCCCGUUCAAUCUUCUUGGGAAAUCCUUGAAACACGGUAACGGUUGCGUCUGCUGCUCCCCGACCUUCACCCCUAAACGCCCGAAACGUGCCUUUCGAUCCCACAGUCUGGGCCCCACUGGGGGCCUAUGGAACAGUGUCACGAACCGUGUCCGCAAAUGGAUUAAUUCGAAACGCAAGUACGAAAUUUCCCCGACGGACAACGCCAUCGCCGCCGACAGACUACUGAAACGUGACGAACAGACGACUGCAGAGAGUGACGUCAGAGUCACGUCGAGUCAUCAUCAUCAUCACCAUCAUCAUCAUCCUCAGCUACAUCGGGACCACCGUCAGCAGGAUAACGUCACGCAAGUGGGGCUUCCUAUGUGUGAAGUAGAGACUGUCGUGGACGUGUCUCCCGUUGACAAACGUUUCAAUGAGGUGGAAGGGGCGCCGGGAGGGUUUGGGUGUGGUCAGGGAGUACAACUCACCGCCCAUCUCCUUCAGCCGUCGGGGAUCUCAAACAGACAAUUGUUCAGGGCGUCGCUGUACAAGCACAGGGAACGGAAGUUGUCCGGUAACUCCAUCGGCAAACAACCCCUAACCGGAACUACGAGUUGUCCCCCCAACUCCGCCAUGAAGUAUAAGGAUGCACAUAUACGGCAAUGGAGAUCGUGUCCAUCGUUGAGGAGAGGAGACAGUAUAGAAGGUGAUGGCUUUGAGGAUGUGGAUUUACCCUUCCUUAGAGAAAUGGAAUUUAAAAGGACAGCUGCUGAGGGUAAAACGUCAGUGGAUGACUUCUCCAUUUCGUUCAGCGAUCUCCAGUUACUCGAGUGUUUGCGGACAGGACGACGCUGUAGAAUAUACAGGGGUCGUUGGCAUGGUGAUGUGACGGUGCACCUGUUCGGCGGGAUGCAGUCAAGCGAGACGAGCACGUUCUGGUGUAACCUGACCAAACUCUACCGCAUACGUCACGAAAACGUCAUCCUCUUCAUGGGUGCCUGCACAGACCCGCCAAACAUGGCCGUCAUAACCAGCAUGCCGAAGGGGAUGUCUCUGUAUGAGAACAUCUACACUACGAAGGAUAAGCUGAACAUGCACACGAAGGUGCAGAUCCUGCAGCAGAUCUCUCUCGGGAUGGGCUACCUGCACGCCAAGGGAAUCGUUCUCAGAAAACUCAACACCAAGAACGUCUUUCUCGGCUCCAAGGUGAAGAUCAGUGUCAUGGACUGGGGCAUGUCCGAUAUUCGACACAACAGGUCAGAUUACGCCAGUGUUCCAAGAGGUCAUCUGACGUACGUUGCCCCGGAGAUUCUGUGUACCAUGAAGACAAUCCCUCCACGUCUGGUUGCUACCACGCCCUACACAUAUGAAUCAGACGUCUUUGCCUUUGGGUUGGACACUGAUGUACGAAGUGAUGAAUGGUGACUUCCCGUACAUCGACAUCCCCGUCGAGAGCCUCAUCUGGCAGGUGGGACAGGGCAGACGACAGUGUCUCGAGAAGCUGCCCUGCUCCGCUGGUCUCAAGACCAUCAUUGAAGACUGCUGGGCUCAGGAGUCGAUCUAUCGACCAGACUUCCUGGAAAUAAGCAAAGACAUCCACAAAAAC